rnacentral:rRNA from 1 species
GACGGAAGGUGCAAGCGUUGUUCGGAUUUACUGGGCGUAAAGGGUGUGUAGGCGGUCCUCUAAGUUUGGUGUGAAAUCUCCCGGCUCAACCGGGAGGGUGCGCCGAAAACUGGAGGGCUAGAGUGCGGGAAGGGAGAGUAGAAUUCCUGGUGUAGCGGUGAAAUGCGUAGAUAUCAGGAGGAAUACCGGUGGUGCAGACGGCUCUCUGGACCGCGACUGACGCUGAGACACGAAAGCGUGGGUAGCAAACAGG